CUCUCUCUCUCUCUCUCUCUCUCUCUGCCAAAGAGAUACACUGACUGGGGGUUCCCUGUUUUCCUGUUUUGACUGAACGAUUCAUAUUGUUAAGCGGUCGUUGUUGUUAUGAAUACGAAACCGAUGGCUGGCAAUUAACAUCGACUCUCUCUCUCUCUAUAUCCCUCUCCUCCUCCUCUCCCCUCUAUCCCUGUCUCUCUCCCCCUCCUCUCCGUCUCUCUCCCCCUCCUCUCCUCUCUAUCCCUGUCUCUCUCCCCCUCCUCUCCCUGUCUCUCUCCCACUCCUCUCCUCUCUCCCCUCUAUCCGUCUCUCUCCCCUCCUCUAUCCCCCUCCCCCUCCUCUCCUCUCUAUCCCUCUCUCCCCCUCCUCUCCCUGUCUCUCUCCCACUCCUCUCCUCGCUCCCCUCUAUCCGUCUCUCUCCCCUCCUCUAUCCCUCUCUCCCCGUCUCUCUCCCCCUCCUCUCCCCCUCCUCUCCUCUCUAUCCCUGUCUCUCUCCCCCUCCUCUCCCUGUCUCUCUCCCCCUCCUCGCCUCUCUCCCCAUCUCUCUCCCACUCCUCUCCUCUCCCCUCUAUCCGUCUCUCUCCCCUCCUUUAUCCCUCUCUCCCCCUCCCCUCCUCUAUCCCUGACUCUCUCCCACUCCUCUCCUCUCUCCCGUCUCUCCCCCUCCUCUCCUCCCAUUCUCCUCUCAUCCCUUUCUCCCCUCCUCCCUCUUCUCUCUCCAUCAGCAGAGCCAUCUCAAGCUCAUAGACCCAUAUACAUGCCUAUAUCCUUCAUUACAUAUUGAAAAGCUUCCAUAUAUUUCUAUAUUGAAAAUUUCAAAUAUAUCUAUAUAUGUACGAAAUGCAUAAUCAAUAAAAAUAUACACAAACA